GAUGAACGCUGGCGGCGUGCUUAACACAUGCAAGUCGAACGAAGCACUUUAUUCGAUUUUCUUCGGAGAUGAAGAUUUAGUGACUGAGUGGCGGACGGGUGAGUAACGCGUGGAUAACCUGCCUCACACUGGGGGAUAACAGUUAGAAAUGACUGCUAAUACCGCAUAAGCGCACAGUACCGCAUGGUAUGGUGUGAAAAACUCCGGUGGUGUGAGAUGGAUCCGCGUUUGAUUAGCCAGUUGGCGGGGUAACGGCCCACCAAAGCGACGAUCAAUAGACGACCUGAGAGGGUGACCGGCCACAUUGGGACUGAGACACGGCCCAAACUCCUACGGGAGGCAGCAGUGGGGAAUAUUGCGCAAUGGGGGAAACCCUGACGCAGCGACGCCGCGUGAGCGAUGAAGUAUUUCGGUAUGUAAAGCUCUAUCAGCAGGGAAGAAUAAAUGACGGUACCUGACUAAGAAGCCCCGGCUAACUACGUGCCAGCCGCCGCGGUAACAC
rnacentral:rRNA from 1 species